AUUGUACAGCAAGUGUAGAUUACAAGAUUGCUGAAGUAAAUCAUAUCUCUGGCUGUAAUUGCAGAAAUAUGCACAUUGUAGAAGACUGGAGUCUAGUUUAGAGGUAGCUAGUUCCAGAAUGGCAGAAUUGGAUCCUCCUCGAGAGAAUUCUGAUUCAAGAGGAAACAAAAUCUUAGCUUCUACACUAGAAACUGGUCCAUGGAGAGUCCCAGUAAAGAGGAUUCGAGACCCAAAUGGAGAAAUGGAUGGGUGUUUGUGACUGCAUUUUAACCAAAGAUGGACCUGGAACAAUUGCGGAGGCGUUGAUAAGGGGCUUUCCAAUCAUGAAGCAAUGGCUAGGCAGUUGUAUUGCAGGCUCUGGUGUUGUGUUGGUGCAGUCGGUGUGUCCAAGGGAUAGGAGGGUUUUACUAAAACAUAAGUGUUAUUAGA